GGAGAGACAUGAAGGCAAUUAUUCCGAAAGGAGUUUAGCAAGAGCUUGAGAUGAUCUCUGAAGUUAGGAGGUAGAAAACAAUGAGUUAGAAGGCCAGCCCAACGAUGCCAAGUGAGGCAACAUGAACAAAGUUCAUAGUGUUGAAAUGAGGAUGACGGAGGAAGAACAAGAGCCGUGGAUCUGACCAGGAGUGUGUGGACUUUGCAACGCGUUCCUUCACAGCUCGGGUGUAGAGAUAAUGGGACAGUUGCUGCAGUCUCUGUCCAUACACCAUAUUUACCAGACUGCGCAUGUCCGCUGGGAAAACAGGGAGCGGAAGUGUCACAACCUGCCAAAUAGACAUACUAGAGAAAUGAGAGCACAAACACAUGGCAUUCGGCUGACUAAUUAAAACACUAACGUACCUUAAAAUACUAAAGAGCCAAAAGCCGGUUGUGUGGAGCCAGCCAGAGGAACGCAGCAAACUAGAUAUUCAAAGUGGAAGCGUCUCACCUUGACCUCGGUGGACACUGUUCUUCAAAACGUAGCCAAGUCUUUAGUAUCCACAGUUUAUAAUAAAUUCAGUCUCUCCCUGAGCCCAAAGCUCAACAAUUCAACUACACUGGCAGCCUGCACGCCCGAGGUCUGUGUCAGCCAGCCUCCCCGGUGCUGGAACUACAGGUCCACACAGGCCUUCACACGGGAGCUGGGAUCUGCAGUAAGGAAUCCAUGCUUCCCUAGCAAACGCUUUACUGACCAAGACACCUCCCCAGCCCGACUCUUCAAACAUCUCAAAUCUCCUUCUUUCCUUCUCCUGUUCUACUAAAGCAGAAUAUUAACUUGACUUUGUUUUCAAGAAAGACAUGUGAGGCCAAAAUGAAAGGGGAAGAGGAGAUGUUUGAAGACACUACAGAAAUCUGGUACGAUAGCAGCCAGGGUUGGAGAAGACAGCUUUGUCUCGCCUGUGCAAUUGAGGGUAUUAUUUAUCUGUAAAAUGAGAUGCUUGCAGAGUGACAUCUAAGUCCCUUCUUGCUUGAAAUUGACAACAGUCCACAAAUGUUACGAGAUUUAGUUUUGAUGAAUGUGCAAAAUUAGCAGGCACCUGCUACCUUCAAACACAGAAGAAUGAUGUGAUAUUUAAAAAGAAGAGCGGUGUUUCUGGGCCAGAGUGAAGGGUUGCCCAGAUUUCUCUCGGUACUGUGGGGUUUCCCAUGUCACAGACCUGUUACUGCAAACACCCGCACAGUCCAAGGCAAACCAGAGUGACUGGACACCCUACAGAAAGAGGUUGAGUUCAUAAGAUAUAAAUGAAACAUUUUUAAUGUUGUAAAUU